AUACGAAGGGGGCUAGCGUUACUCGGAAUUACUGGGCGUAAAGGGCGCGUAGGCGGCGUUCCAAGUUAGGCGUGAAAGUCCUGGGCUCAACCUGGGAACUGCGCUUAAGACUGGAGUGCUAGAGGAUGGAAGAGGGUUGUGGAAUUCCCAGUGUAGAGGUGAAAUUCGUAGAUAUUGGGAAGAACACCGGUGGCGAAGGCGGCAACCUGGUCCAUUUCUGACGCUGAGGCGCGAUAGCGUGGGGAGCAAACAGGAUUAGAUACCCUGGUAGUCCACGCCGUAAACGAUGUGCGCUGGAUGUUGGGUGACCUAGUCACUCAGUGUCGUAGCUAACGCGGUAAGCGCACCGCCUGGGGAGUACGGCCGCAAGGUUGAA
rnacentral:rRNA from 1 species